GAUUUUUGUAAGUGUGAAGGUAGAUCGUAUCUGUGAUGUCUGGACGCGGCAAGCAAGGCGGCAAGGCGAGGGCCAAGGCGAAGUCUCGCUCCUCCCGGGCCGGCCUCCAGUUCCCCGUGGGGCGCGUCCACCGCCUGCUGCGCAAAGGUAACUACGCUGAGCGCGUCGGCGCUGGGGCGCCCGUCUACCUGGCCGCCGUGCUCGAGUACCUCACGGCCGAGAUCCUCGAGCUGGCCGGCAACGCUGCCCGCGACAACAAGAAGACGCGCAUCAUCCCGCGACACUUGCAGCUCGCCAUCCGCAACGACGAGGAGCUCAACAAACUCCUCGGCAAGGUCACCAUCGCCCAGGGCGGCGUCCUGCCCAACAUCCAGGCCGUCCUUCUGCCCAAGAAGACCGAGAGCCACAAGGCCAAAGGCAAGUGAGCGAGCCGCCGCCAGCGCCGAGGAAAGAAGGACAAAGGGGCUUGUCUCUAGUUUGAACCCAAAGGCUCUUUUCAGAGCCACCCACCGCUUCUAAAAAAAGAACUGAGCAUCUCAUGUGAGGUUGGCAAGUACCAGCUCUGCGCUUCUGACUGUCUGCCGUGUCUCUGAGCUCCCGCGGGAAACCUAACAAGUUGUGUUAAUUGCGUACUUCACUUUUGCGGCAUAGGUCAUUCUCUCCACUUCAUCCUCAAAACAGCCCUAUGAGGUGGGCCGUGUAUCUUACAAAGAAGAGUUAUGGUAGACUACCACAAGAUUGACUCAAGUAUAACAUUUCGUUGCUAGGGUUUGAGGAAAUUGACACUCGAGAAUGGUGCAUCCCUGAUUGCAGAAGCCCUGUUCUUUUCUAAAGAAGAACCUGAGACCAUCUAUGAAUGAGUCUGGCCUGAUGCAGAGCCUGCACACCAGGUGGAUGGCUCAAAACAGAGUGGUAGGAGGGACUUGAAAGACUGGACAAAUGGUGAUAACUUCCUGUGUCACUAGGGCAGCCCAUGCCCUACAGCAAACUGAAGGGAGAAUUGUAAACCCCUUCACAGAUUGCCCAGAUGCAUUUGGUGUUAUGCAUGCAUACAGACCUUGAUGGAAAGAGAAAGGGCUCAUGAGAAAAGAUUGCCAAUGGACACCAAGUUUUUCACUGCUCAAAGCACUCACUAGGACUAUACAAGUGGUAUGUGACCCAUACUAAAGUCAAAUACAUGGAACAUCUAGUAGUAGAAGGGGAUGGCCAAAUGGAAGAGUGGGGGUCCCUAAAGCAUGCCCUCAAAGGAUCCUGAAAACCUCCAAUGACGAGAUACUUUGCUACAAAUUCUAACUGAGUUUGCACUUUGUUUCAAGGCAGGGGAAGAGGUUUCUAAUCACGUGUUGCAUCAAUAAGCAACCAUUAAGAAGAUCAUGAGCUAGAAAGUGAGAAGCUUCCCCUUUUCAAAACAUCCAAGUGGACCAUACAAAAAUGCCUAUUAAAACUAAACUGCAGGCAUUAUCAAAGGCCCUCAUGUGUGUUUGGCUGCUCUCUAGAGGAAGCUAAGUCAGUGGUGGGAUCCACAAAUUUUAAUAACAGGUUCCGAUGGUGGUGGGAUUCAAACAGUGGCACACACACCUCCAGUCCCUGUUGGGCAGGGAGGUUGCUUUAGUAACCCCUUCUCGGCACUCAGAAAAAAUUAGUAACCACUUCUAGAGAAGUGAGAAGUGGUUGGAUCCCACCUCUGAGUUAAGUCCCUUACUUUUGAGCUAUAUGGUAAGCCUUUUCCCAUGGCCAGUGGAAUAAGAGAGACAUUAUUAGAAAUUAGAGAUAAAGCGUCAAAAAGACUAUGAUUUGCCUUGCAGUUUUGUCUUUCCCCUCUUUUCAUAAUAAUACAUUGGUACACCAACACAUCCUAUUAGACCGGUCCACCAACACUAGACUGGAAACUGGUGUUUCCAAAUCCACAGACCUGGAGGCAUGAAUCUUUAAAACCUGACUGAACAGGUCUACUUCAGAUAUCUCUGAUAAGCCAUAUUGCUGCUAUUAAUUGAUUGCUAAUAUCUUAAGGUCCAGUAGGAAAGUCAUGUUGCCUUUGCCAGACAAUUCCAGACUUCAAGGGAGCAACACUAGGCCCCCAGCUGUGACAACAGGGGUCUAGAAGCAGCUAAUUUCAGAAACUAACAAAACUUUCCUAAGUGAUUUCCAAAAUUGAUCAGCAGGACAUGUGUGUUUGCAACCUUUGUUUUGUUCAGUUCAUUUUAACUUUUUUUGGUACUUGCAGGUUUAACUUUCCAGAAAGAUGAGCAAUACCAAUAUGUUUUUUCACAGAGACUUCUUUUGGAGGGACAGUAUUCCAAUCAGUUUCAUUUUAGAGAAUUAUAAAAACCAGAGGUUCUGGAAA